CCUACGGGAGGCAGCAGUGGGGAAUAUUGCGCAAUGGGCGAAAGCCUGACGCAGCGACGCCGCGUGAGGGAUGAAGGUCUUCGGAUCGGAAACCUCUGUCAGCAGGGAAGAACGGUCACUGUGCUAAUCAGCAGUGAAUUGACGGUACCUGCAAGGGAAGCACCGGCUCACUCCGGGCCAGCAGCCGCGGUACUACGGAGGGUGCGAGCGUUAAUCGGACUUACUGGGCGUAAAGCGCUCGUAGGCGGUAUGUCAAGUCAAGGGUGAACUCCCCGCGCUCAACGUGGGAACUGCCUUUGAAACUGGCAAACUGGAGUGUGUGAGUGGAGAGGGGAAUUCCAGGUGUAGGAGUGAAAUCCGUAGAUAUCUGGAGGAACAUCAGUGGCGAAGGCGACUAGCUGGCACACAACUGACGCUGUGGAGCGAAAGCGUGGGUAGCAAACAGGAUUAGAUACCCCGGUAGUC
rnacentral:rRNA from 1 species